GACGAACGCUGGCGGCGUGCUUAACACAUGCAAGUCGAGCGGUAAGGCCCUUUCGGGGGUACACGAGCGGCGAACGGGUGAGUAACACGUGGGUGACCUGCCCUCAGCUCUGGGAUAAGCCUGGGAAACCGGGUCUAAUACCGGAUAUGACUCCAUGACGCAUGUUGUGGGGUGGAAAGCCUUGUGCGGCUGGGGAUGGGCCCGCGGCCUAUCAGCUUGUUGGUGGGGUGAUGGCCUACCAAGGCGACGACGGGUAGCCGGCCUGAGAGGGCGACCGGCCACACUGGGACUGAGACACGGCCCAGACUCCUACGGGAGGCAGCAGUGGGGAAUAUUGCGCAAUGGGCGAAAGCCUGACGCAGCGACGCCGCGUGAGGGAUGAAGGCCU
rnacentral:rRNA from 1 species